AGCGAACGCUGGCGGCAUGCUUAACACAUGCAAGUCGCACGGUUGGGGGGGCGACCCCUGGCAGUGGCGGACGGGUGAGUAACGCGUAGGUAUCUAUCUCUGGGUGGGGGACAACCGCGGGAAACCGCGGCUAAUACCGCAUGAUGCCUGGGGGCCAAAGGCGGCUGGGGGGAACUCUGGCUGGUGCCUGGAGAGGAGCCUGCGUCCGAUUAGCUUGUUGGUGGGGUAAUGGCCCACCAAGGCGUCGAUCGGUAGCUGGUCUGAGAGGAUGAUCAGC
rnacentral:rRNA from 1 species